AAUUCGAAUUACUUUUUUUUUCUUUAGAGCUGGACUGACCGGGAAAGUUGCUUUGAAUCAGAUAAACUCCAGUAAAGGACCAGGAACCCGGAACCAGACUAGGAAAUAUAUAUCUCAGCUGAACCAAACACUGUUCUCUGGUAUUUUGGAUCUUUACAGGGUAGAUUUCCAGAUAUUCGGAUAUACGGAACCAUCCUCCUCCGAGUAUGAUGGUUAAACCGAACUUCUUUCCUCCAAUAGCUGUGAUACAAUGAUACAUAGAAUCCUUUCCGCACUGCAGGGCAUCUCACGAAACUCUUAGAAACGGGAUAUCCAUAUUUCAUAGCAGUUGAGAUAUUCAUCUACUAAAACCAUCGUUUACGAAACAAUUAAUAUUUCGAAUACAAAAUCACUUGCUUUUUUCCAAUACAGAGAUAUCUUGGAUAUCAAAAUAUAUGUAGAUCCAGAUAUAUAACUUUAAGAAGCUUGGAUAUCCAGAUAUAGAACUACAUAAAACUUAGAUAUCUAGAUAUAGAACUUCAUGAAUCUUUAAUAUCCAGAUAUAAAACUUCAUUAAUUGCUUGGAAAUCCAGACAUAGAACUUCAUGAAGCUAGGUAUCCAGAUAUAGAACUUCAUUAAUUGCUUGGAAAUCCAGACAUAGAACUUCAUGAAGCUAGGUAUCCAGAUAUAGAACUUCAUGAAGUUUGGAUAUCCAGAUAUAGAACUUGAUGAAGCUUGGAUAUCCAGAUAUAGAACUUAAUGAAGCCUGGAUAUCCAGAUUUAUAACUUAACGAAGCUUGGAUAUCCAGAUAUAGCACUUCAUAAAGCUUGGAUAUCCAGAUUUAUAACAAUAUGAAGCUUGAAUACCCAGAUAUAGCACUUCAUAAAGCUUGGAUAUCUAGAUAUAUAACUUCAUGAAGCUUGAAUAUCCAAAAAUAAAACUUUUUAAAGCUCAGAAAUGGGGGAUAAAAUUAAACUUUUGUCCAAGCAUAUUAUAAAGAACAGGGGCGUAUACAGGUACAGCCCCCGUUUACCCCUGGUUUAGAAUUAUGAUCAUUGAACAGUUGGGUUUAUACGAGAUUUAAUAAGAUACCUGUAAAUGGAGCUUUUAAAAAUUGCAAACUUUAACCAAAUAUAGACAAAGAUGUCAA